AAAGUCGUAACAAGGUUUCCGUAGGUGAACCUGCGGAAGGAUCAUUAUUGAAUAAACUUGGUUAGGUUGUUGCUGGCUCUUAGGGGCAUGUGCACGCCGACUCCAUCUUUAACCACCUGUGCACCUUGCGUAGAUCUGAUAAUCUCGAGGAAACUCGGUUUGAGAAUUGCUGUGCAACAAAAGCCAGCUCUUUUUGUAAUCAGGUCUAUGUUUCUAUAUACCCCACACGAAUGUAUUUUGAAUGUCUUAACUGGCCUUUGUGCCUUUAAAAACAAAUACAACUUUCAACAACGGAUCUCUUGGCUCUC
rnacentral:misc_RNA from 1 species